rnacentral:tRNA from 1 species
GAAAUAUGAGAUUCAAAAUAAAGCUUCUAACUUUAAUUACUAGCGGUGAAACUCCGUUAAUAUUUCU